AACGAACGCUGGCGGCAGGCUUAACACAUGCAAGUCGAACGGUUGUAGCAAUACAGCAGUGGCAGACGGGUGAGUAACACGUGGGAACCUUCCUAGGGGUACGGAACAACUCAGGGAAACUUGAGCUAAUACCGUAUACGUCCGUGAGGAGAAAGAUUUAUCGCCCUUAGACGGGCCCGCGUCGGAUUAGCUAGUUGGUGGGGUAACGGCCUACCAAGGCGACGAUCCGUAGCUGAUCUUAGAGGAUGAUCAGCCACACUGGGACUGAGACACGGCCCAGACUCCUACGGGAGGCAGCAGUGGGGAAUCUUGGACAAUGGGCGCAAGCCUGAUCCAGCCAUGCCGCGUGAGUGAAGAAGGUCUUCGGAUUGUAAAGCUCUUUUGCCAGGGACGAUAAUGACGGUACCUGGAGAAUAAGCCCCGGCAAACUUCGUGCCAGCAGCCGCGGUAAUACGAAGGGGGCUAGCGUUGUUCGGAAUUACUGGGCGUAAAGCGCACGUAGGCGGGUCGUUAAGUCAGGGGUGAAAUCCCGGAGCUCAACUCCGGAACUGCCUUUGAUACUGGCGAUCUUGAGAUCGGAAGAGGUGAGUGGAAUUCCCAGUGUAGAGGUGAAAUUCGUAGAUAUUGGGAAGAACACCAGUGGCGAAGGCGGGCUCACUGGUCCGAUAC
rnacentral:rRNA from 1 species